AUGAAACAACAGCUUUGUGCGACCAGUUUAACGGUGGGGAUGCCGAGGAAUAUUUGUACUUGUGAUGAAAAAUAGCUGAUCUGAAGCACUCGCAAUGAACUCCGUUUAUUAACAGGGACGAUACGAGAUAAAAGCGCGCGAGUUUAAUAUUAUUUCAGUGCGCGGUCAUUUUCGGUAAAUUUUAUUAAAAUAGUAAUGAAAUAAUUGUAAAUCAAUUUUGGUAAAUUUAAUUUUUUUACCAAUUAAGUAUUUUAUAUAAUAAAAUAUUUAGGGUAAAUAGUUGCUUAUUUUAUUAACCAGGCUCUUUAAAAAUGGCGACGGUUUUGGAGAAAUAAAAUGGAGGAGAGGUUAUAGGUGAAAAGAUGAAAAUAUUCAUUCAAAUUCUUCUCGUCGUUGUAUUUCAAUACAAAUUUAUUUCUGUUGCAAAGCAAAUCGGUUUCUGAUACUAUCAUCUCACAGUAAUGACGUAGAUUUUGAAAAUAUGUAACAUAGAUUUCCAUUUUGUGUAAUACAUCAAAACUUCACUAAUAUUUUAGGAAUAUUUUAGGAAUAAUAUUUUCUUAUUUAGGGAGAAAUGUGUGUCAUUGCUGUUGAAACAUGCGUUUUCCAUUGAAAGACUUAAGUAUGUCAUUUCGAUGAUAUUAUAUAUUUACGUUUUCUGAUAAUAUCAUAUGGUAACAAUGACGUAGAUGCUGUUCAACAUGAUGCAACUUUCCUUGGACGUUUCUCUCUUUUUUUUUUGGCAGAGAAAUUAUCAGUUUCUACAAAAUAGGAGACGAAGAAAGAAGAAAAGAACACGAUCUUGUGUAAUCUUUGCAGGGUGUGCGAACGCGUAACUAUAGAACAGUCUGAUACAAUGUCACUGACACAGCAGAACAUGAGAUACAUGUGAUCUUUUCGAAACUUCUACCAAUGGCUGUGAUUGGUUGUUUCAUUCGGCAUCCUUUCAUUUCGACCAAUCAGACACGUCGCUUGUGACGCAGUAGAGUAUUCCUCUUCGAAGCUUCGUUCGUCUUGCACGUGUCUGCAACAGACCUGUUCGUGUAAUUCGUUAGGUAUCGGCCGAUAGCAGAAUACACCGAACAUUGCCGAGCGUUGCCGAAGUGCCGACCGGUCUACGAUGGGAAGGAAGGUCUCGCCAUUGCUCUCUCGAGCGUCGAACUGAUAAGACGUGUUUCGAGCAUCCUUCCGCAUAAGUAAUGGAUAUCUGAUAGAUUUUGAAAGGACACCAUGACACCUGAUAUGGGUUUGACAUAGAAUUUCAUAAGAAUUUAUUGUUUUAAUUUAUUCUAAUCAAUUAUUAACGUUUAUUAUUACUUAUUUUUUCAUUGAGUCGUUGUUAAUUGUAAGCAUUUUUGAUAAUUAAUUGGUACCAAGGUACCAAGAAA